rnacentral:rRNA from 1 species
CCUACGGGAGGCAGCAGUCGGGAAUAUUGCGCAAUGGAGGAAACUCUGACGCAGUGACGCCGCGUAUAGGAAGAAGGUCUUCGGAUUGUAAACUAUUGUCGUUAGGGAAGAGAAAGGACAGUACCUAAGGAGGAAGCUCCGGCUAACUACGUGCCAGCAGCCGCGGUAAUACGUAGGGAGCGAGCGUUAUCCGGAUUUAUUGGGUUUAAAGGGUGCGUAGGCGGGCUGUUAAGUCAGCGGUAAAAGCCCGGGGCUCAACCCCGGCGAGCCGUUGAAACUGGCUGUCUUGAGAUGUCGAGAGGUAU